UACAGAGGUCUCAAGCGUUGUUCGGAUUCAUUGGGCGUAAAGGGUGCGUAGGUGGCGCGGUAAGUGGGGUGUGAAAUUUCGGAGCUUAACUCCGAAACUGCAUUCCAUACUGCCGUGCUUGAGGACUGGAGAGGAGACUGGAAUUUACGGUGUAGCAGUGAAAUGCGUAGAUAUCGUAAGGAAGACCAGUGGCGAAGGCGAAUCUCUGGACAGUUACUGACACUGAGGCACGAAGGCCAGGGGAGCAAACGGG
rnacentral:rRNA from 1 species